rnacentral:rRNA from 1 species
CCUACGGGUGGCAGCAGUGGGGAAUAUUGGGCAAUGGGCGCAAGCCUGACCCAGCAACGCCGCGUGAAGGAAGAAGGCUUUCGGCUUGUAAACUUCUUUUCUCAGGGACGAAGCAAGUGACGGUACCUGAGGAAUCAGCCACGGCUAACUACGCGCCAGCAGCCGCGGUAAUACGUAGGUGGCAAGCGUAAGCCGGAUUUACUGGGUGUAAAGGGAGUGUAGGCGGGACUGCAAGUCAGAUGUGAAAACCACGGGCUCAACCUGUGGACUGCAUUUGAUACUGUAGUUCUUGAGUACUGGAGGGGCAGACGGAAUUCCUAGUGUAGCGGUGAAAUGCGUAGAUAUUAGGAGGAACACCAGUGGCGAAGGCGGUCUGCUGGACAGCGACUGACGCUGAGGCGCGAAAGCGUGGGGAGCAAACAGGAUUAGAUACCCGAGUAGUC